rnacentral:lncRNA from 1 species
GCUAUUUAGACAUCACUAUGUGUUUUCAGGAAGCGGAGCAAAAGGCAACAAGCUUAAAGAGCAUUGAGUGGGAUUUACUAUAAAAAAGAUGAGAUUUCCUGCACUAGGAGUUGUUAAAUCCAGGAAUAAGAGACAGAAGGAAGCUGUACUUUCUUUUGAAGGGGUAGAGAAUUAAGGUAGCUUCUCAUCUGUCAGGAAAGUUUAAGGCAGGGUGAAUGGAUUAGGUGACCUUUCAAAAUUACUUCCAUCCCAGGGUUUAUGAUGUCAGUAUAAACCAGCAGCCCCAGCUGGAAACCUGGCCAGGGACCCCCCGGCUCCUGCACGCGUUUGUGCUUUCGCUGAAAGCUCAGCCAGGUAACGUGCUAGAGAAACUGACGGUCACUAGCGCAAGCUUGGAGUCAGAGAGCUUGGGUUCUAAAACUGCUGAGUUUCAGCGUCUUCAGUCACGAAAGAUAAUUACAUCUCUCCCCCCAAACUGUAAGCUGCUGCUGCUGCUGCUGCUGUCACUUCAGUAAUGUCCGACUCUGUGCGACCCCAUAGAUGACAGCCCACCAGGAUCCCCCGUCCCUGGGAUUCUGCAGGCAAGAAUACUGGAAUGGGGUGCCAUUGCCUUCUCCGAAACUGUAAGCUACUGAAUGGCAAAUGCUCUAUUAGCUUUUUGUCUUUGUAUUUCUAGUGCCUGACAAACAUUCAGCUUUUUGAGUGAUGGAGUCAAUGAAUGGAACUAAGGGACUGAACUAAGAGUUUAUCUCCAAGAGAACUGUUCUCUAUUUUCAUAUUAGACACCAAAAUAAUGGGAUAAAAAUAUUAAAUUUCUUAUUCACUAUGGGAGUAUCAGACACCUCAUUUGAACAUAUGAGAGGAGGGCAGUUACCACUUGCUUAAUAUUCACUGACCAGCUAACUCUAUGUCUUUUGGUAUUAAGCAACUUUGGAACAAUUAUCACAUCAUGUAAGUUGCCCCUGAAUUACUUUGCCCUUUCUAGGCUUUUGUGUGUUUCUUUGUUUAUUGUAUAUAAACCCCAAGUAAACACUGAUCAACCGCACGCACACAUCACCCUUGUUCUUUAAUAGAGACAGAGGUAAUUCAUCAAGUAAAUCUUAUAAUGUCUCGCUUCUUGUUUAUAAGUCCCCUGAUUAACCAUAUCAUUAUUGCUGUUUUCAUAAGGAGACCUAACAUGGUGGAGAAAAGAAGACACAUGAAUACAGCUAACUGAUAAUAAAAGAACUGAUGGAAAAAAAAAAAAAAAAACA